AUUUAUUGUAGCAGUGCUCCUCAGUAGCUUUAAAUAAAAAUUCUUUACCUGGUCAUCUCUGCUCAGGUGAACUGCCCAUCUGGUCUAAUUGCAGGUCAUUUAUACUUCAUCGAUCAGUGACAUACACAUAUCCUCUGCGUCUUUUAUUUUUAAAUGUUCUUGGCAAAUAACAAGUUCUUGACAACUAAGUAAAGUCUUUGCAGAAAGUUUGCAUAAAUGAGAUAAAGCAGUUGUAUUUCUUGCUUUCAGUUUGUUUUCUUCAGACUACCUCUAAAUUUCCAAUAAUGGCAAUACAUUCAUUCUGCCAUUUGGAGGAGCCUGUGCCACAGAAUAAUGAUGUGAAGAAAUCUAAUUUAUUUGCAAGGAAGAGUCUUCAUUUGUGAACUAGUACCCAUGCAGCAAAGAGGUGCUUUGUUAAGUUCAGAACUAUUAUUGUUCCUAACGCAGUCUCCUGUAUGUGGACAAAGUUGUUUUUUCUUCAAAAAAUAAACAGAAUGCUGUCUCUGAAGAGUAAAAAGGUCUUUGACAUUCAGUGGGAUGAGAAUCUCAAAACAGACUGACUACUGUGGACUCCCCAGCUACAGUUCAGAUCAGUGUCUUGCCUCGCUUCUCUGAUGUGCAAAUGAAGCUCGUCCAGUAUGUGUUACUCAAGAAAGAAUUAAGAAAAUUGAAGUCAGAACAUCUGAACUUGGAUCACUUGCAAAUAAGGAAGAUCCGCAUGCACGUGUUCUGUAAAGAUAAUGUUGAACGGAUCCAGAAACUGUUUUGGUAGCUGCAGUUUGCUUGUCUGAAAUCCCUUCAGAAGCUUGAGUGCAAAGCAAGCACAGUACUAGUGAUGGAUGUGAAUGGAUAUCUUAAGGAUAACAGUGGAUAUGGUGUCUUCAGAAACGGUGGCAUUAUGAAGGUGUACUUAUGUUGAUUUGUCUGGCUACAUGCUGAUCUCAGAAGACACAACUCUAUGGCAGUAGGGGGAAGAACAGUAUUGUACUCCUGGAUAACAGCAAGAAUGACAGCCCUGAUGAAUUGGCGGAUCAGACUGAAGACUGUUACGUCCUUCUGAGAUGACACAGGAAAGUUACAGGUAGAGGGAAAGCACGGGGCCCUUCCCUUUUUCCCUGUAGGCUGGAUGCAAGUGCUGUCGCUGAAUUUAGGAUAUCAUGAUAUUCCAGAGUGUAGUCCCUGGUUCUGUGCUCGUGUUCCAUUGUAAAACUCUGUAGUGUCUUUACUGCUGCUGUUACACAUUCCUGUUACAUCAAAGCCUGCGUUUCGGUGCAGGAAAACCUUACCAAGUAGACAUUUUUCUGAAACACCACCUUUUCUUUUUGGUGAUUGUAUAUUAUUCUAGGUAUAUGCUACUGUAAGUUAUUAUUAGUAUGGUAGGGAGAAACAUCAGCAUAAGAAGUGACUUCAUCUAACGCACUGCCAAGCUAGAACUUCUCACAACCUUCAGAUGGGCACAAGAGCGAGUGUUUUUAUAGCAGUAAUAUUACUUUCUGUCAGUUUUAGAGUUUUAAAAUACGGUAAGAUUACCUCAUUUUCGUUUUUGCCACCACAUUACUAAGAGACUAAAAAUCUACACGUCUAGAAAUGAGGUGUUGGUGAUUAAGAUAAAAAUAUCCCCUUUAUUGGUUUUACUCUCAUUUCUUUAAAAUAAUAAAACAAAUCAUGUAUAAAUACGAAAAAACAGCAAUAUGCAGGAGGUGAGCAAAUGCACACUGCAGGUACUCGUGUCUGCCUGAGGGGGAAUCUACUGUGAUCAGUUAAUGCUGUACAAACCUCUUUAUGCACAAUAUCAUUGUAGCCUUUUCCUUAGCUGCAGCAUUUUGUGGUAAAAAUGUAAAUCUUUUAAUAGUCUAGGCACUCAGAUUAUUUUCUGGGACUAGUUUGAUGUCUCUUUAGUUGUGGGCUGUGCUACCUGGUUCAUCCUUGUUCUGUUUAUAAGUUUAUUUAUAUAUUUUUAGUUCUGCCAUUGGGUUUGUCCAAAUGCACCUUGCUAGCUGUGGGUCUGACUGAGUUAACGGGACUCUGAAUGACUGGAAGUUUGUACUCUGAAGAUCUGACUGUAGGCCUGAACCUGAAUUUUUACUUUAUUCCCCUAUUUGCUUCUAAUUCAUGAAAAAUGUCCUCUAAAGUGUCUUCAGGACCUAAUGUACAUCUGCCUUAGUACCAUUCAUACCCUAUGUUCUCUGGAUAUUGUCAGAUACGGUGAAAAUAUUUCUGUUAUGUCAUGUGUCAAAAACUCUUGAUGGAUGUGAUUACUGUGUUGUAUUUUUACAUUUAAUGGCUUCACCUAAAACAGGAGAGAGAAUCACCUGUGUUUUCAGUAGUUGUGGUAUUUCUCUUAGCUCAGAUUCUGAAGCCAGAGUAACUACUUGAACUGUAUUCAGGUAAUUUUUAAAGAUGUUGGUAGAUUUCUUUUUUUAUUCUUUGGGCACAAAGUACAUUUAUUUUAUUUUGCACCGUGCUAUUUUCUUAGUAGCCUAUUAUUACUAAAAGCUUUCAAUAUGAUGAUACACUGUGAUGCAGACCAAUAAAAUAAGCAGGAAAAGGCAAUAACUUUUACUAGCUCUCCUGUUGUUUUUCUAUUUUUGUGGAUGCAGUUACAUGACAUACUAUACAGCUGGAAGGGAAGAUAUUUUCAUUUUUGUGAAUCGCGUAAUGUCUUCUGCUUACACGGAAUGCUGUUCCCUGUCCUAUUCCAUAUGACUGUUACACUUUCAUUGAGUACUAAAGUUAAAUAGCCCCGAUGCAAACUGUAAAGGACUUUGCAAGUCACAUUAAAAAUAGAGUUAGAGGGGAAAAAUGGAUAUGCUCCAUCUCUACCUGUGUUAGUAUUUGUAUUGCAUAGACUUUUUAAAGCAAGCACGUACCAAUAUAGGAAAAUUAAUGAAUGAAAAGAUCCAAAGCUUUCUCUGUAUUUAGCAAGUCAGGAAUAGCUUCUUUUUUUUUUUUCUUUCUAGGUUUAUUAAAAUGAUAUCUAAAAGCUUUGCAGUGUUUAAUGGCUUUUUGCAUAUUCCCAGAACAACAGGAAAACAUCGUUGUCCUGCCGUACAGUUGAGAGAACAGCCACUCAGAAGCAAAGCCAAGGUUGUUAUUUGGGUCCUCCUGCAUUUUAACCUCAUGCCUCCAGCUCCCUUUCUCCCGCAAAAACCCAAAGCCUCCGUUAUAAUCAGAUGCUUCGUAUUUCUGCGCACAAGGCCUAAGGUGUUUCAGUUUGGGCUCCCAAAUGAGGAACACAGCGUCGGUGGCCAUCUGCCAAGGUGUUUGGUCUGACUCCCUCCUUCUUCGCAGAAAGCCUAUGGCAAAGGCAGAGGCAGAACUGAAUGUUCCUGUGUGGCGUUCAACUGCCUUAACCGCAUGCCCAUUGCUCUCUUCCUGCAGUUGUCUGUCUGCUUCUCUGCACAACUUCGAGAGCAAACACAUAUAGGAACCUAUAAAUAAUCUAAUUCGAUGCACAACCCUGAUUCAUUUCCUGAGCAGCGUGUGUCCCGCACACGCAGGGCGGCCGCGGUCCUGUGGAAAACUUGAGCAGAAUGGAUGAGGCCAAGUUAAUACCAUUAAGCAUUUAAACUUUGCAAUGAAAUAUUAUUCUAAUGGAGCUUAUUAUAGCUGUAGCUUGGAGUAUUUUUAACAAGGGAUGAGGAAAAAAAAAAAAAAAGAACGCUUUUAUUUAUAGUCGUAACUGUUUUCCUGUCUAACAUUUGAAUGUGAAUAUUCAGCUCGGUGAAAUGCAGAGCAUCAACCAGGAGGAGGAGGCGGCUGGUCUCCUUAGGGAGGAAGGGGAGAAAGAGUUCUGGGUCGCAAACACCAUGGGCAGUAACUCUAUUUUGCCCUUGAGUCUCGGGGCCAGGCUGUGGAGAGUUUACCCUAACUUUUGGUUUUCC